GGAAACUCCCUGUGUGGCCAGCACUCAGAGAGGAAAAGAGCCUGGUAGACAUCUUAGCUGGUCUCUGUGUGCGUGUCACUUGCCAAUUCCUUCCACAACAGUAAGACAAUCCGACUGUCCAUUCAACCACUGGACAUGAGCCCCAUUCCACUUGGCUGAAUCCUCAGCAAAAAUGAAACUACCUCCCAGUGCACAGAGCACAGAAGCCCCCAAAACCUGAUGUGGAAUGAAAGAUGUCAAAGAGUCCACAUCUCCACUCCAUGCCUGUGGAAUUCCAGAG
rnacentral:lncRNA from 1 species